rnacentral:rRNA from 1 species
UACGGGGGGAGCAAGCGUUGUUCGGAUUUACUGGGCGUAAAGGGCGCGUAGGCGGCCUCCGCAAGUCAGUUGUGAAAUCUCCGAGCUUAACUCGGAAAGGUCAACUGAUACUGCGGGGCUAGAGUGCGGAAGGGGCAACUGGAAUUCUCGGUGUAGCGGUGAAAUGCGUAGAUAUCAAGAGGAACACCUGCGGCGAAGGCGGGUUGCUGGGCCGACACUGACGCUGAGGCGCGAAAGCCAGGGGAGCGAACGGG